GACGAACGCUGGCGGCGUGCUUAACACAUGCAAGUCGAACGCUGAAGCCCUUUCGGGGGUGGAUGAGUGGCGAACGGGUGAGUAACACGUGGGUAAUCUGCCCUGUACUUCGGGAUAAGCCUUGGAAACGGGGUCUAAUACCGGAUAGGACCUGUCCUCGCAUGGGGGUGGGUGGAAAGUUCCGGCGGUAUGGGAUGAGCCCGGGGCCUAUCAGCUUGUUGGUGGGGUAGUGGCCUACCAAGGCGACGACGGGUAGCCGGCCUGAGAGGGUGACCGGCCACACUGGGACUGAGACACGGCCCAGACUCCUACGGGAGGCAGCAGUGGGGAAUCUUGCGCAAUGGGCGAAAGCCUGACGCAGCAACGCCGCGUGGAGGAUGACGGCCUUCGGGUUGUAAACCUCUUUCGACAUCAACGAAGGGGCCCUGUUGUGGGGUUUUGACGGUAGGUGUAGAAGAAGCACCGGCUAACUACGUGCCAGCAGCCGCCGUAA
rnacentral:rRNA from 1 species